UUUGCGCAUGGAGGAAACUCUGNGCAGCGACGCCGCGUGGGUGAUGAAGGCCUUCGGGUCGUAAAGCCCUGUCGGAGGGGAAGAAAAGCUUGCUGGCUAAUAUCCAGCAGGCCUUUGACGGUACCCUCAAAGGAAGCACCGGCUAACUCCGUGCCAGCAGCCGCGGUAAGAUGGAGGGUGCGAGCGUUGUUCGGAUUGACUGGGCGUAAAGGGCGUGUAGGCGGUUGGUCAAGUCUGGUGUGAAAGCCCGGGGCUUAGCCCCGGAAGUGCGCUGGAAACUAGCCAACUUGAGCGCGAUAGAGGAGGGUGGAAUUCCUGGUGUAGCGGUGAAAUGCGUAGAUAUCAGGAGGAACGCCGGCGGCGAAGGCGGCCCUCUGGGUCGUUGCUGACGCUGAGACGCGAAAGCGUGGGGAGCAAACAGGAUUAGAUACCCUGGUAGUCCACGCUGUAAACUAUGGGUACUAGGUGUUCGGGGUGUUGACCCCCUGAGUGCCGGCGCUAACGCAUUAAGUACCCCGCCUGGGGACUACGGCCGCAAGGCUAAAACUCAAAGAAAUUGACGGA
rnacentral:rRNA from 1 species